AUAUCCCAAUAAAAUCUUAGAG
rnacentral:snRNA from 1 species